rnacentral:rRNA from 1 species
UGCGCAGGCGGUUAUACAAGCCUGGUGUGAAAGAUCGCAGCUCAACUGCGGGACCGCACUGGGAACUGUAUGACUGGAGUUCAAGAGGGGAAGCUGGAAUUCCUGGUGUAGGGGUGAAAUCUGUAGAUAUCAGGAAGAACAUCAGUGGCGAAGGCGAGCUUCUGGCUAUGAACUGACGCUGAGGCGCGAAAGCGUGGGGAGCAAACAGGAUUAGAUACCCUGGUAGUCC